rnacentral:rRNA from 1 species
AGAGUUUGAUCCUGGCUCAGGAUGAACGCUGGCGGCGUGCCUAACACAUGCAAGUCGAACGGACUUAUAACGAAACCUAGUGAAUUAUAAGUUAGUGGCGGACGGGUGAGUAACGCGUGGAAAACCUGCCGUAUACUGGGGGAUAACACUUAGAAAUAGGUGCUAAUACCGCAUAAGCGCACAGCUUCGCAUGAAGCAGUGUGAAAAACUCCGGUGGUAUACGAUGGUUCCGCGUCUGAUUAGCUAGUUGGUGAGGUAAAAGCCCACCAAGGCGACGAUCAGUAGCCGGCCUGAGAGGGUGAACGGCCACAUUGGGACUGAGACACGGCCCAGACUCCUACGGGAGGCAGCAGUGGGGGAUAUUGCGCAAUGGGGGAAACCCUGAUGCAGCGACGCCGCGUGAGUGAAGAAGUAUUUCGGUACGUAAAGCUCUAUCAGCAGGGAAGAAUAAUGACGGUACCUGACUAAGAAGCCCCGGCUAACUACGUGCCAGCAGCCGCGGUAAUACGUAGGGGGCAAGCGUUAUCCGGAAUUACUGGGUGUAAAGGGAGCGUAGACGGUGAUGCAAGUCUGGAGUGAAAGGCGGGGGCCCAACCCCCGGACUGCUCUGGAAACUGUGUAACUUGAGUGCAGGAGAGGUAAGCGGAAUUCCUAGUGUAGCGGUGAAAUGCGUAGAUAUUAGGAGGAACACCAGUGGCGAAGGCGGCUUACUGGACUGUAACUGACGUUGAGGCUCGAAAGCGUGGGGAGCAAACAGGAUUAGAUACCCUGGUAGUCCACGCCGUAAACGAUGAUUACUAGGUGUCGGUGGGUAUGGACCCAUCGGUGCCGCAGCAAACGCAGUAAGUAAUCCACCUGGGGAGUACGACCGCAAGGUUGAAACUCAAAGGAAUUGACGGGGGCCCGCACAAGCGGUGGAGCAUGUGGUUUAAUUCGAAGCUACGCGAAGAACCUUACCAGGUCUUGACAUCUUGCGCUAACCUUAGAGAUAAGGCGUUCCCUUCGGGGACGCAAUGACAGGUGGUGCAUGGUCGUCGUCAGCUCGUGUCGUGAGAUGUUGGGUUAAGUCCCGCAACGAGCGCAACCCUUGUUACUAGUUGCCAGCAUUAAGUUGGGCACUCUAGUGAGACUGCCGGUGACAAACCGGAGGAAGGUGGGGACGACGUCAGAUCAUCAUGCCCCUUAUGACCUGGGCUACACACGUGCUACAAUGGACGGUACAACGAGUCGCAAGCUCGCGAGAGUAAGCUAAUCUCUUAAAGCCGUUCUCAGUUCGGACUGUAGGCUGCAACUCGCCUACACGAAGUCGGAAUCGCUAGUAAUCGCGGAUCAGCAUGCCGCGGUGAAUACGUUCCCGGGUCUUGCACACACCGCCCGUCA